CUAGAGAUAGAAGUUACUUCGGUACAUCGGUGACAGGUGGUGCAUGGUUGUCGUCAGCUCGUGUCGUGAGAUGUUGGGUUAAGGUCCCGCAACGAGCGCAACCCUUGUCAUUAGUUGCCAUCAUUUAGUUGGGCACUCUAAUGAGACUGCCGGUGACAAACCGGAGGAAGGUGGGGAUGACGUCAAGUCCUCAUGGCCCUUAUGGGUAGGGCUUCACACGUCAUACAAUGGUCGGUACAGAGGGUUGCCAAGCCGCGAGGUGGAGCCAAUCCCUUAAAGCCGAUCGUAGUCCGGAUCGUAGUCUGCAACUCGACUACGUGAAGUCGGAAUCGCUAGUAAUCGCAGAUCAGCAUGCUGCGGUGAAUACGUUCCCGGGUCUU
rnacentral:rRNA from 1 species